rnacentral:rRNA from 1 species
GAUGAACGCUGGCGGCGUGCCUAAUACAUGCAAGUAGAACGCUGAAGCUUGGUGCUUGCACCGAGCGGAUGAGUUGCGAACGGGUGAGUAACGCGUAGGUAACCUGCCUCUUAGCGGGGGAUAACUAUUGGAAACGAUAGCUAAUACCGCAUAAAAGUCGAUAUCGCAUGAUAUUGAUUUGAAAGGUGCAAAUGCAUCACUAAGAGAUGGACCUGCGUUGUAUUAGCUAGUUGGUGAGGUAACGGCUCACCAAGGCGACGAUACAUAGCCGACCUGAGAGGGUGGUCGGCCACACUGGGACUGAGACACGGCCCAGACUCCUACGGGAGGCAGCAGUAGGGAAUCUUCGGCAAUGGGGGCAACCCUGACCGAGCAACGCCGCGUGAGGGAAGAAGGUUUUCGGAUCGUAAAGCUCUGUUGUAAGAGAAGAACGAGUGUGAGAGUGGAAAGUUCACACUGUGACGGUAACUUACCAGAAAGGGACGGCUAACUACGUG